GGUGUGUCCAGAUCACCACAUUUUUUAAGACUAAAGGGGGUGGGUUGUCUUUUAGUGCUGACUAUUUUAAUACAGUUAUAUUUUACUUUAUACAUGCACUAUUUUCCUUAAUCUAUUAUUUAAUUUUUAAUACAGAGGACUUACUUAUUGUAUCAUUUCAUUUAUAUUACAGAGAGCUUAUCAGGUGGGGAAGCCCCAGGCCAUUUUACCACAAUAAGAACCUCUUCUUCUAAAAUAGAAAAGCAGAACAAGCACAUACAGUCAUGUUUUUACCCAGUAGUAAAAGUGAUCACACGCACCACACCCAAAGAAGAGCAGGGACCUGGGG